rnacentral:lncRNA from 1 species
UUCUUAGUUCCUUACUGUGGAAAUUUCAUUGAGCUAUGAAAAAAAUCUUUUGGAUUUUUAAAUUUCACAUUUUGACAUUUGUUAAAUCAAUCAGAUCUGACUACUUUGAGCACUUUCACCACAUCUACUCCUAUUUCUAUGAAAGACCGAAGAAGAAACAGAAUUACAGGUUUUAAAAAAAGGAAUCCAUCAGACCUGAAUACUUUGAGGAUUUUCACAACAUCUACUCCUAUUUCUAUAAAACUCCAAAGAAGAAAAAGAAUUACAGAGGCAGCCUCCCCUUCUUUUGUUCCUGGGAUAACUCUGACAGCCGUGAGCAAUCUUACUGCUGAUGACACGACUCUUACAGAUCCAGCAACUGAUGAUGGAAUGACAGGUAGACCUAAUUUUACUAUUUUUAUUAAAGGACGAACAUAUAUAUAUAUAUAUAUAUAUAUAUAUAUAUAUACAUAUGUGUGUGUGUGUGUGUUGGGGAGUAACAGAAUACAUGUACCGGUGUUCUGACCAACCAUCCUACUUUGGCAAAACGUCCUACCGUAACUAGUUUAUGCACAUUUCUGCUGUCAAAGACGAAUUCCAGCAAAUUUAAGAAGGUAUGACGGGUUGCCACUUAACUUUGCCCAUCAGAGUAUGCUUGUAGCUCAUAGUCAUAAAACCAGGACGGUUUGCCACUUCAUUUUAUCUGUUAAAGUAUGCUUGUAGGUAACAUUCACAAAGGUAGCAUGGUUUGGCACUUAAUUUUACCCGUCAGAGUAUGUCCUAGCUCUUAUUAACAAAGGUAGGAUGAUUUGCCACUUAAUUUUAGCUGUUAAAGCAUGCUUCUAGCUCAUAUUCACAAAGGUAGGAUGGUUCGCCACUUAAUUUUAGCUGUUAAAGCAUGCUUCUAGCUCAUAUUUACAAAAGUAGGACGGUUCGCCACUUAAUUUCGUGUUGUGCGCAUGCACAGAAACAACAGGUAGGAUGGUUUGUCAGGUAGGAUGGAUUCCCAGAACACCGGCGUUACGUAUUUAAAAUACAAAAUAGGAGUAACUGUAUUCCAUUACAGUUACAGUUUAAAUAGGUGGUAAUCAGAAUACAGUUACCUUUUUGAAAUAAAUAUAAUACACAGUGGUUGUUUCCAGUUUUAUAUGUUAGGGUAUCCCCUCUCUAUGCCCUCUCUAAUUUUGGUGAUUGAACACAGUAGGGCGCUGGUUUAGCUCAGUUGGAUGAGCUUGUAGUCAUGGCUGAGAGUGGCCGACCCAGGUUCAAGUACGACCCGUGGCCCUUUUUUAAAAUUUAAUUAAUUUUUUUUUUUUUUAACUCAAUUUCCAUCUGGGAUUAAUACAGUUUCUCUAAUUCUGAUUGAUGGAGACCCCAAAAACCCCCACAAUAAGAGGCUCUAAUGUAAGCACUG